rnacentral:rRNA from 1 species
UAACUCUUAGCGGUGGAUCACUUGGCUCGUGGAUUGAUGAAGAACGCAGCUAACUGCGAUAAAUAGUGCGAAUUGCAGACGCAUUGAG